AAUAGAUACCCAGGUAGUCCACGCCGUAAACGAUGAGUGCUAAGUGUUAGGGGGGUUUCCGCCCCUUAGUGCUGCAGCUAACGCAUUAAGCACUCCGCCUGGGGAGUACGGUCGCAAGACUGAAACUCAAAGGAAUUGACGGGGGCCCGCACAAGCGGUGGAGCAUGUGGUUUAAUUCGAAGCAACGCGAAGAACCUUACCAGGUCUUGACAUCCCACUGACCGCUAUGGAGACAUAGUUUUCCCUCCGGGGACAGUGGUGACAGGUGGUGCAUGGUUGUCGUCAGCUCGUGUCGUGAGAUGUUGGGUUAAGUCCCGCAACGAGCGCAACCCUUGAUCUUAGUUGCCAUCAUUUAGUUGGGCACUCUAAGGUGACUGCCGGUGACAAACCGGAGGAAGGUGGGGAUGACGUCAAAUCAUCAUGCCCCUUAUGACCUGGGCUACACACGUGCUACAAUGGACGGUACAAACGGUUGCCAACCCGCGAGGGGGAGCUAAUCCGAUAAAACCGUUCUCAGUUCGGAUUGUAGGCUGCAACUCGCCUAC
rnacentral:rRNA from 1 species